rfam:Sphaerobolus stellatus SS14 unplaced genomic scaffold SPHSTscaffold_295, whole genome shotgun sequence.
GGCUGCUUGGCUAAGGGGUACAGCGUCGCACUUGUAUUUUCGGAAUUAAAUUUCCGAUGAUAUGCGAAGACCGGGAGUUCAAAUCUCCCAGUAGCCU